rnacentral:rRNA from 1 species
UACGUAGGUGGCUAGCGUUAUCCGGAUUCAUUGGGUUUAAAGGGUGCGUAGGCGGCCUAUUAAGUCAGUGCUGAAAUACUUCCGCUCAACGGAAGAGGUGGCAUUGAUACUGAUGGGCUUGAGUACAGAUGAGGUAGGCGGAAUUGACGGUGUAGCGGUGAAAUGCAUAGAUAUCGUCAAGAACACCGAUAGCGAAGGCAGCUUACUAAGUUGUAACUGACGCUGAUGCACGAAAGUGUGGGGAUCAAACAGG